CACCUGCAACGAACACACAGCAGCAAAAAACGACAGAAAAGGGGCAACAGAGGGGAUUUGGGAUUGAUUUUAUUUUUUUUCUUUUCAUUUUUCUGUAAUUCUGGCUAUAAAGAAGCCAAUACAAACACUGUAAGAGGAGGGCAUAUUGAAAUAAAAAAAAAGAGGAUUAAAAAAAAGGAGAAUACUCGUAAGGCGAUUUUGAGUUUUUCUUCUCUCUCGUUUUCUAUCAUUUUCCGAUUCUUCUUUUUUCCUUUUCUUUUUAUUUACUGUUUGAG
rnacentral:lncRNA from 1 species